rnacentral:rRNA from 1 species
AUCAUGAUAACUGCUCGAAUCGCAUGGCCUUGCGCCGGCGAUGCUUCAUUCAAAUAUCUGCCCUAUCAACUUUCGAUGGUAGGAUAGAGGVMUACCAUGGUGAUGACGGGUAACGGGGAAUAAGGGUUCGAUUCCGGAGAGAGGGCCUGAGAAACGGCCCUCAGGUCUAAGGACACGCAGCAGGCGCGCAAAUUAUCCCCUGGCAACACUUUGCCGAGAUAGUGACAAUAAAUAACAAUGCAGGGCUCUUACGGGUCUUGCAAUUGGAAUGAGUACAAUUUAAAUCCCUUAACGAGGAUCAAUUGGAGGGCAAGUCUGGUGCCAGCAGCCGCGGUAAUUCCGGCUCCAAUAGCGUAUAUUAAAGUUGUUGCCGUUAAAAAGCUCGUAGUCGAACUUCGGGUCCUGUCCGCCGGUCCGCCUUCUUGGUGUGUACUUGUUGGAUGGGACCUUACCUCCUGGUGAACGGCGAUGUCCUUUACUGGGUGUCGUCGCAAACCAGGACGUUUACUUUGAAAAAAUUAGAGUGUUCAAAGCAGGCCUUUGCCCGAAUACAUUAGCAUGGAAUAAUAGAAUAGGCCGCGCGUUCCCAUUUUGUUGGUUUCUGGGAUCGCCGUAAUGAUUAAUAGGGAUAGUUGGGGGCAUUUGUAUUCCGACGUCAGAGGUGAAAUUCUUGGAUUGCUGGAAGACAAACUACUGCGAAAGCAUUUGCCAAGGAUGUUUUCAUUGAUCAAGAACGAAGGAAGGGGGAUCGAAAACGAUUAGAUACCGUUGUAGUCUCUUCUGUAAACUAUGCCAAUUGGGGAUCGGCACAGGAUUUUUAAUGACUGUGUCGGCACCCGAAGAGAAAUCUUUAAAUGAGGUUCGGGGGGGAGUAUGGUCGCAAGGCUGAAACUUAAAGGAAUUGACGGAAGGGCACCACCAGGUGUGGAGCCUGCGGCUUAAUUUGACUCAACACGGGGAAACUCACCAGGUCCAGACACAAUAAGGAUUGACAGAUUGAUAGCUCUUUCUUGAUCUUGUGGUUGGUGGUGCAUGGCCGUUCUUAGUUGGUGGAGUGAUUUGUCUGGUUAAUUCCGAUAACGAACGAGACCUUAACCUGCUAAAUAGACCAGCCGGCUUUGGCUAGCUGCUGUCUUCUUAGAGGGACUAUCAGCGUUUAGCUGAUGGAAGUUUGAGGCAAUAACAGGUCUGUGAUGCCCUUGGAUGUUCUGGGCCGCACGCGCGCUACACUGACAGAGCCAGCGAGUCUACCACCUUUGCCGGAAGGCAUGGGUAAUCUUGUGAAACUCUGUCGUGAUGGGGAUAGAACAUUGCAAUUAUUGUUCUUCAACGAGGAAUACCUAGUAAGCGUGAUUCAUCAGAUCGCGUUGAUU